rnacentral:rRNA from 1 species
GGAUAUGUUAAUAGCAUAUUCAUUUGACGUUUAGCUGCAGAAGAAGCACCGGCUAACUCCGUGCCAGCAGCCGCGGUAAUACGGAGGGUGCGAGCGUUAAUCGGAAUUACUGGGCGUAAAGCGCAUGCAGGUGGUUUGUUAAGUCAGAUGUGAAAGCCCGGGGCUCAACCUCGGAAUUGCAUUUGAAACUGGCAAACUAGAGUACUGUAGAGGGGGUAGAAUUUCAGGUGUAGCGGUGAAAUGCGUAGAGAUCUGAAGGAAUACCGGUGGCGAAGGCGGCCCCCUGGACAGAUACUGACACUCAGAUGCGAAAGCGUGGGGAGCAAACAGGAUUAGAUACCCUGGUAG